AGAGUUUGAUCCUGGCUCAGAAUGAACGUUGGCGGCGUGGAUUAGGCAUGCAAGUCGAGCGAGAAUUCUUAAGAAGAUACUUCGGUUGAUUCUUAGGAAGGACAGCGGCGAAAGGGAGAGUAACGAGUAGAUUACGUGCCCAAGGGUUCGGGAUAGCCAUGCGAAAGCGUGAGUAACACCGAAUAAUGUCUCCGGACCAAAAAUUUAUUGCCCUUGGAGCGGUCUGCUUACUAUUAGCUUGUUGGUGGGGUAACGGCCUACCAAGGCUAAGAUGGUUAGCGGGUGUGAGAGCAUGGCCCGUCUCACUGGGACUGAGAUACUGCCCAGACACCUACGGGUGGCUGCAGUCGAGAAUCUUCCGCAAUGGACGAAAGUCUGACGGAGCGACGCCGCGUGAUGGACGAAGGCCCUCGGGUUGUAAACAUCUGUCGUAGGGGAGGCAAUUUUGACCGAUCCUAGGAGGAAGCACAGGCUAAGUUCGUGCCAGCAGCCGCGGUAAUACGAACUGUGCGAACGUUAUUCGGAAUCACUGGGCUUAAAGGGUGCGUAGGCGGGUUAGUAGGUCAGAUGUGAAAGCCCACGGCUCAACCGUGGAAUUGCGUUUGAAACCACUAGUCUUGAGGGGAUCAGAGGAGAGCGGAACUGAUGGUGGAGCGGUGAAAUGCGUUGAUAUCAUCAGGAACACCGGUGGCGAAAGCGGCUCUCUGGGAUCCUUCUGACGCUGAGGCACGAAAGCUAGGGGAGCGAACGGGAUUAGAUACCCCGGUAGUCCUAGCUGUAAACGAUCUGUACUAGUCCGUGGGGACUCCCACAUCUUCUCGGACGUAGCGAAAGUGUUAAGUACAGCG
rnacentral:rRNA from 1 species